rnacentral:rRNA from 1 species
UACGGGGGGGGCAAGCGUUGUUCGGAAUUACUGGGCGUAAAGGGCUCGUAGGUGGCCAACUAAGUCAGACGUGAAAUCCCUCGGCUUAACCGGGGAACUGCGUCUGAUACUGGAUGGCUUGAGUUUGGGAGAGGGGCGCGGAAUUCCAGGUGUAGCGGUGAAAUGCGUAGAUAUCUGGAGGAACACCGGUGGCGAAGGCGGCGUCCUGGACCAACACUGACACUGAGGAGCGAAAGCCAGGGGAGCAAACGGG